rnacentral:rRNA from 1 species
GAUGAACGCUGGCGGCGUGCCUAAUACAUGCAAGUCGAGCGAACGGACGAGAAGCUAGCUUUUCUGAUGUUAGCGGCGGACGGGUGAGUAACACGUGGAUAACCUACCUAUAAGACUGGGAUAACUUCGGGAAACCGGAGCUAAUACCGGAUAAUAUUUUGAACCGCAUGGUUCAAAAGUGAAAGACGGUCUUGCUGUCACUUAUAGAUGGAUCCGCGCUGCAUUAGCUAGUUGGUAAGGUAACGGCUUACCAAGGCAACGAUGCAUAGCCGACCUGAGAGGGUGAUCGGCCACACUGGAACUGAGACACGGUCCAGACUCCUACGGGAGGCAGCAGUAGGGAAUCUUCCGCAAUGGGCGAAAGCCUGACGGAGCAACGCCGCGUGAGUGAUGAAGGUCUUCGGAUCGUAAAAUUCUGUUAUUAGGGAAGAACAUAUGUGUAAGUAACUGUGCACAUCUUGACGGUACCUAAUCAGAAAGCCACGGCUAACUACGUG